rnacentral:lncRNA from 1 species
CUACCACAUGUGGGGGGUUCAACAUCCUUGGGGCCUCAACUCCUUAGCCAUCCUGGACCGAUCCUCUGCAAAUGAGCAGUAAGCCCUCUCCCCAAGGUCCGGGCCCCUACCUCCCGGCCCU